UUCAGUUUCUCUGAGUCCAGGAUGUUAGAUAAAUGUUCAAACACUAACAGUUAGUCAGCAGUUUCAGUGUGAACCAGUCUUUCUGUUCUCCUGCUGCUUCUAUCUUUACUUUACACUGAAG